GGCCUAAUAUCUCAGUGGUCAGAGUACUGGUCUAGUAAACCAGGGGUCGUGAGUUCAAUUCUCACUGAGGCCU